rnacentral:lncRNA from 1 species
CGUCAUAAGAAAAUGUUUAAUGUUUUUCGAAAAAAUAAACAUUUCAUCUUUUCUUAUUCAAAGAAUAUCUUACGGAAUAAAGCUAGAAAUUAAUAAUAUUUUCAAUAUAUAUUUUACAAAUGUAAUUUGCUACAUUCUGAUUACAUGAUGUAUGUUUAUAGUUACCAUUCUGUGUAGAAAAUUUUGGCCAGUUGAGGCUUUUCAAACUAUCUUGUGUGGCAGAACAGCAAUUACAAUAUUUUAUCCGUUGCACAAGGAUUGUAUAGAACUAUCGACUUGUCUCAAGAUACCAAGUAUAGUUAUAGCGCAUAAUACUUUCCUUAUUCCGUAUGACAUAACUUCUCUAGGUGUGUAUACUAUUAUGUAUUUUUUGGUUAGAAUGUAGACUACGAAUUGUGAUGCUAUUUCACAUUAUUGCUAUACUUCUAAAAACAUAUUUCCCGACAAAAUCACUGCAGGUCAGCAACUGAUGACUUGUAGGCUACCAUUUUGAGACGCAUUGGAUUAUAGUGCAAUACAUAGCUCAUAAAACAAGUCAAAAAAUCAGAUAAUAUAAUAUAAAAUUAUUUAUGUUUAAAACAUAUAAAACUGCCGACUAAUUGAAUUUUCUAAUUAAAUUGUUCUAAAAAAUAUGAUGAAUUUUAUAUAAAAAACAACAAAUUUUGUAUCUGAAAUCGAAUCCCGAC